rnacentral:rRNA from 1 species
GAUGAACGCUGGCGGCGUGCUUAACACAUGCAAGUCGAACGGAAAGGCUCCUGCUUGCAGGGGUACUCGAGUGGCGAACGGGUGAGUAACACGUGGGUGAUCUGCCCUGCACUUCGGGAUAAGCCUGGGAAACUGGGUCUAAUACCGGAUAGGACGAUGGUUUGGAUGCCAUUGUGGAAAGUUUUUCGGUGUGGGAUAAGCUCGCGGCCUAUCAGCUUGUUGGUGGGGUAAUGGCCUACCAAGGCGUCGACGGGUAGCCGGCCUGAGAGGGUGUACGGCCACAUUGGGACUGAGAUACGGCCCAGACUCCUGCGGGAGGCAGCAGUGGGGAAUAUUGCACAAUGGGCGCAAGCCUGAUGCAGCGACGCCGCGUGGGGGAUGACGGCCUUCGGGUUGUAAACUCCUUUCGCUAGGGACGAAGCGCAAGUGACGGUACCUGGAGAAGAAGCACCGGCUAACUACGUG